rnacentral:rRNA from 1 species
UAUGUGAUCGUCUCUCGCAUAUCAAUAAGCGGAGGAAAAGAAACUAACAAGGAUCCCCUAGUAACGGCGAGUGAAGCGGGAAGAGCUCAAAUUUGAAAUCUUAAAGGGUUUCCCUUUACGAAUUGUAGUUUAAAGAAGUGUUUUCUGUUGAGGUUUUGGUAAAAGUUCUUUGGAAUAGGACAUCAUAGAGGGUGAGAAUCCCGUAUUUGACCUUUACUUUCAACUUUGUGAUACGCUUUCAAAGAGUCGGAUUGUUUGGGAAUGCAGUCCAAAAUGGGUGGUAAAUUUCAUCUAAAGCUAAAUAUUGGCGAGAGACCGAUAGCGAACAAGUACCGUGAGGGAAAGAUGAAAAGAACUUUGAAAAGAGAGUUAAACAGUACGUGAAAUUGUCAAAAGGGAAGCGUUUGACACCAGUGUUGUUUUUCUGAAAAUCAAUUAAAGAACUGUUUAUGCUAAGCUUGUUUAGACUUUAUCAGCUAAUCUGUUUAGUUUUGAGCUUUCUUUAAUGCACUUUUCAGUUAACAAGUCAACAUCAAUUUCUUUUGCUGUAAAAAAGCUUGAGGAAGGUGGCUUGAGAUUCGUCUUAAGUGUUUGUAGCCUCUUGCCUAUGCAGUCGGAGAGAUUGAGGUCUGCAGCGUAGAUCCUUCGGGGCUAAAUGCAUUUGUGCUAAGUUAUAGCAUUUUAUAGACAACUUGUUGACUAUGAUUUGUCUUGUAGCUUACUCGCUUAUGUUAUUUUACCUACGCUUAGGAUGUUGAGCGCAUGUCUCUCUCU